rnacentral:rRNA from 1 species
GAUAAACGCUGGCGGCGUGCCUAACACAUGCAAGUCGAACGUCCUCUCUCGCAAGAGAGAGGGAGUGGCGGACGGGUGAGUAACACAUGGGUCACCUACCCUUAAGUGAGGAAUACCGGCGAGAAAUCGCCGACAAGACCGCAUAGGCUCUCUCUUUUGCAAGAGAGAGCAAAGCUUCGCAAGAGGCGCUUGAGGAUGGGGCCUGUGGCCGAUUAGCUGGUUGGAGGGUAAUGGCUUACCAAGGCGACGAUCGGUAGCUGGUCUGAGAGGACGAUCAGCCACACUGGGAUUGAGACACGGCCCAGACUCCUACGGAGGCAGCAGUGGGGAAUCUUGCGCAAUGCGGGAAACCGUGACGCAGCGACGCCGUGUGCGGGAAGAAGGCCU